AUGGGGCGAUCUAGCGCCGAAGAAGCGUGGGCCAACCGCUGUAGAGCAGCAGAUCUCGGCCGCCAUGGAUACGGUGGAGCAGCAGGGGCGGCGACCAACGCCAAGCUCGACUCGAUCUUUGAACAACUCAAGGGUGUCACCGCUUGGAUGCAGCAAAUGGAUUCCACAAAAAAGUCUCUCACCGUGUCGGCCUCCCUGCUCCAGCUCCACGCGGAGGAUGCGACGGCGCGGCUGGAGGCGCUCGAAUCGUCGCCAUCGCGUCCACCUGAUCCAGCCAACACCACCGCGACACCAUCAACUGUGGAGGUGCGCACCCAUGGCGUGGAUCGGCCCAAUGGGCACGGCGGGCAUCUCCAUCAUCAGGGGACGGUUCUAGGGGAUCCUAGAUCCUCCGGUCUGCCUCCGGCCAACGGUAUGCCCCAUUAUGCACCCCACCUAUUCGACAUAGAGUCUCAUCCAGAAGAGCGUCGCUUGUCACACACAUCACACCGUCCUCCCUUUGGUAGCACGCCCAAGAUGGAUUUUCCCAAGUUCGACGGGACCGAUUAUCAAGUUUGGCUUGAUAAUUGCGAACUAUACUUUGAGAUUUACAGUGUGUCUGAAGCGACGAAAGUAAAAUUCGCUUCUCUGAACUGUGUGGGCAAUGCGGCGCUCUGGCUCAAAAUGCUUCAGAAGUGCCGGGAUGUUGCGACUUGGCAUGAUUUCUGUACUUCGGUUAGAGAAAAAUGGGGUCAUGAUAAACAUAAAUUCUACAUGAGGCAAAUGUUGUUGUUAAGUCAAGUAGGCACACUCGAGGAGUAUACAGCAAAGUUCGACACACUUAGGCAUCAAAUUCUGCUUGCUGACCCGCACACUCAUGAGAUUUUCUUUGUGGAGCGCUAUACUGCUGGUCUUCGUCCUGAUAUUCGCUCUGUCGUUGUUUUACAUCGUCCUGAAUAUGUAGAUACUGCUAGCUAUUUGGCUUUGUUGCAGGAGGCGGAGUUGGCGCACGAACAACCUCAGUCAUCGGGCAAGUCCUUUCGACAAUCAAAUCGUCAUAGCUCCUCCAAUGAAAAGCCAAAGUAUACAACAUCUACUGAUGAUUCACGCAAAGUUGCAGAAAAACUCGAGGCACUGCGCAAUUAUAGGAAGGCCAAGAACCUUUGUUUCACUUGUGGCGAGCCAUGGGCACGGGGUCACAAGUGUCCGGACAAGGUACCGAUACAUGUCAUGGAGGAACUCUUGGAAGUUUUGCAGCUAGACGACCCCCCUGAUCCGCAACAACAACCAGACUCCAGUUCCGAUGAAGAGGUCAUGCUUCUAUCAACAGCUUCCAAACCAGAGACAUCAGUUCGUCGACGGACCAUCCGCCUCCAUGGCAUGAUUGGCAAGUGUAGUAUCCUGAUCUUGGUGGAUUCAGGGGCAAACUGCUCGUUUGCGGAUGAGAAAUUGGCCGCUGACCUCCAUCUGCAGCCUCAGGAGAUGGCUCCAACACAAUAUGUGGUGGCCGGAGGAGCCACGAUGACCAGCUCGCAGUGGAUACCUAAACUGUGUUGGUGGACACAGGGGUAUACCUUCCAACAAGAUGUGAAAGUUCUUCCACUGGGAUGUUAUGACCUUAUUGUGGGGGCAGAUUGGCUUGAAGAACACAGCCCCAUGUGGGUUCAUUGGCGUCACAAGACCAUGCGUUUCACUCAUGACGGGCAUCGGAUCACAUUGACUGGUAUCAAGGAAACGGGAACACGCUGCAAGCAGAUAUCAGCAUGCAAGCUGCAUGGCUUGCUACGCCGGGGAGCAAUUCAGCAUGGCGUUCAGGUACGAGCUAUGCAUCAGGAACAAGAUCUGCUAUCUAUGACAGAGCAGAACACACUGUCAGGGACUGUAUCUUCAAACACAGCGAUGCCAGCUGAGGUUGCAGAAAGUUCCUGCCGCCAAACACUGAGGUGGAGCCAGACACGACUGCACCAGCUCCACGCCACUCCAGCCAGAAUCUUGCAAACCAAGCUGGUGUCUAUUGACGGCAAGACAACUCCACGGGUGAAGCGUUUUCCUCUACUGUCGACUUGGGGGCAAGUCGCCUCUCAAGGGGUAGGGAAUGUCAUGGCACGGCCCAGCUCAGGACGGAGGCCCAAGGCCGCGCGACGCAACAGGAGAUUGGCUCGAGCGUUCGAGGCCCAGCGUUGCCUCGUUGGCGCUACAAAGCGCAGAUGCUGCGCGUCGCUUUCCCGAAAAGGCACCGCGGCGAAUUACCCACCCCAGCGGAAAGAAGAAGGUGCCCUCCUCUCCUCCUCAUCACUGGUGAAAAAGAAGGAAAGGCAAAACGAAUCGGAAUGUCUCCCACCGCGGCACGGCGCAAGAAACCCCGAUCCCCUCACCCACGCUCCCAUCCCAUGCAUCAUCGCCAUGCCAUCCAUGGAUUCCUCCCGUGCGGCGUCUCCCAACCCAAGUUCCUAA
rnacentral:rRNA from 1 species